AUUGAACGCUGGCGGCAUGCCUUACACAUGCAAGUCGAACGGUAACAGGUCUUCGGAUGCUGACGAGUGGCGAACGGGUGAGUAAUACAUCGGAACGUGCCCGAUCGUGGGGGAUAACGAGGCGAAAGCUUUGCUAAUACCGCAUACGAUCUACGGAUGAAAGCGGGGGAUCUUCGGACCUCGCGCGGACGGAGCGGCCGAUGGCAGAUUAGGUAGUUGGUGGGAUAAAAGCUUACCAAGCCGACGAUCUGUAGCUGGUCUGAGAGGAUGAUCAGCCACAAUGGGACUGAGACACGGCCCAGACUCCUACGGGAGGCAGCAGUGGGGAAUUUUGGACAAUGGGCGAAAGCCUGAUCCAGCCAUGCCGCGUGCAGGAUGAAGGCCUUCGGGUUGUAAACUGCUUUUGUACGGAACGAAAAGCCUCUUUCUAAUAAAGAGGGGUCAUGACGGUACCGUAAGAAUAAGCACCGGCUAACUACGU
rnacentral:rRNA from 1 species